UACAGAGGUCCCAAGCGUUGUUCGGAUUCACUGGGCGUAAAGGGUGCGUAGGUGGGUUGGUAAGUCAGUGGUGAAAUCCCCGAGCUUAACUUGGGAACUGCCAUUGAUACUAUCAGUCUUGAAUAUUGUGGAGGUUAGCGGAAUAUGUCAUGUAGCGGUGAAAUGCUUAGAUAUGACAUAGAACACCAAUUGCGAAGGCAGCUGGCUACGCAUAUAUUGACACUGAGGCACGAAAGCGUGGGGAUCAAACAGG
rnacentral:rRNA from 1 species